UAGGAAAUAGUAUAAAUUGGAAGUACUAAGAGUUUUGAUCUCUUAGGUACAGGUUCGAACCCUGUUUUUCUAA
rnacentral:tRNA from 1 species